GGGCAUGGAGGAUCCCCAGGUUAUUCCCAGAGCUGGCGUGUCUGUGUCACACUGCAGCCUCGCCCACAGGCUGUGACACUGCCAGAGAGAGCUGGCACAGGUGGCAUCCCGAGGCUCAGAUGAAUCCAUAUUUGUGUGGAAUGCUUUAAAUCUGUCCACAUGGAUUCCCCACACACCGUGCAGCUGCGGGCUGCAUGAUCCCACCCCACCAGCAGUUCUGGGACCCACAGGAUGGGAGCUGGCCAGCAGGUACAUGCACAUGGAUGUGGAAAGGGCACAGAUGUGACUUCCCUGUUGCCUUAUUCAUGAGAGAUCAAUUUCUGCAAAGUCAUUGUAAAUCACCAUCUUUCUGCUCUGGUUUGAUAUCCACUUCAUUGCUGCUGCCCUGAACAUCCUGACCUGGAGUGCUGUCACACCUAAUUAAAGCUACAUGGGUAAAAAAAGAUUGGGCUUCCAGGGUAGCUAAACAUCUUAAAUGCAUGCUGGGGCCAGAUCUUGAGCUGCUGUAUUUCAGCAAGGAUGUUAUUCUAUAUCUGCUGAAGACAUAGCUGCUGCUUUCUGAUUAGCCAGAAAAUAGCUUCCAAAAAAGCCUGGGAAUAUAAUAUGCUGGGAAUUCUUCACAGACUGUUUUUCCAUUAGAACUGGCUGCCAGCCUGCUUAGGAGGCUGUCUGACAUCAGGUAUAUCUUUCCUAGGAAGUCUCUAUUAUCUGAUACUGGUAUUAUUUUUGUGCCAAUUAAACUAUUCUGUUCUUAUUUCAAAAUGAAACCAUUCUAAUGUAAAAGCCCUAGAUGGAUAAUAUCCUUUAAUUCAGCUGGCUCAAGACACUCCUUUUGUUUUAAACAAAUUAACCUAAAAUGGAAAUAAACUUUUGACAGUCAAGGAAGCAUAGUCUAAAAUAGCUCACAAUUUACAGAGAGCUAAUCAGGCAGAUGUCUGAGACAGUGGAAGUAAAUAAUGGUCUCAUUCACACUGCUCUGCACUGAGAGCUACAUGAUGAAAGUCCUAGGAACCCCUUCGAUCAGCUCCAGGCUGAGCUCAUAAUCACCAGCUAUGGAACAGCAGCAUUUGGCUGCAAAUUAAAUUUCACAUCUUCCCUGCAAGAAAGCACCCUGUCCAACUGCAGCAGGGACUUCAGCAGCAAGGAGUAUUUGGGGGUUGUUUUCUGUCACUGACCAAAGUUGAGGGGAGAGUGAUGAGGUGUUAGGCUGAGACACCUCAAAGGAACUGAUUUUUGGAAAUCCUCAAACUAUCAGGCUGUUCUCAGGGCUGGCUCGAGUCAGGCACCCCAGAACAGGCAAGCAAAAUCACUAGCCCCUUUUAAAAACUAUCAGUCUUCAUCUGCCUAGCAGACAGAUUGAAAAAUCAGGCUAAUGUGGAAAUACUAACUAUGAAAAGCCUUGAAAGUUCUACAAAUCUGAAAAAAGUACUUCUUAGUGCUUGUAAAAUCUGUGUGUAUAGUGCAGGAUUUCUUCUUCCACCGAGCAGUAGAACAUGCUGUCCUUAGCUCCCAUGCCCAUGAAACUGUUAAUAUGCUGUAUUUAUGAAUAGCCAUUAGAAAAAGCGAACUGUCUUUGCAGUUUUGGUGCUCAGCCAGCCUGCCCACUUGCCCUUAUUCUCCUAGAACUGCUGCUGACUGUGCUGUGUUGAGGAUGAAUUAAGGCAGAGAAGGAAAUAUUUCUGAUAAUGGUGCAAACUGAAAGGGGCUUGGUUUGCUUUAGAACUCUAGUCUAGGUUGUUUGGGAACCAGCCCAAAUGGGCUACAGCCACUCACACAGAUCAGUUUACACACUUUGCUCUCAGUGGCACCUCCUAACAGGCCUAAUUAACAUCAGAGAGAUAAUUUAUUAGAUAUUUGACUUCACUUUGCAGUUGCAGACCAUGUAAAUAAGAGUUACCCUGGAAACAUGUUAAGAAUGACUGUGGCAUGUUAAUACGACCCCACUGUACUUUCAGAUUGAUUCUAGGAACGUGUAAAAAGGUGUUGGAAAAUCCAGUGCUGGAACUGAACACACUGUGAUACAUUUAUUCAGGAGUUGGAUUUUGUUCAUUUCGGGCUCUUUUACCUCCUCCCACUCGUUCUACCUGUGACUCUCAUCCUGGCAUUCUGGUGAGCACUGUAAAAAUUCAUAUGUUGGCUUUGAAAAGCAAAAUGAUUCUACCCAUCUGUGAUGAUAUUAACAUCUACUAAAAGCUAAUGAAAUGGGUGGCAUUAUGAUGUCAGGAGGAACAGAGCCAAAGGUGGUUUUCUGAACGGAGACUCUGCAUGAAUCUCCCCAGACUGCCCAGCAGUCAAGGAGAUUAUAUUCUCAACUGUUAAAGCUGUUUACACAUACCAACCAGCACUGACUGCCUCUUUGUGGCAAGUUGUUUACAUGAAUUUAUUUUGGGAAAAUUCCAUUAGACGGGACCAAGAUUUCUUCAUAAAUCAUUGAAUUUAACUUGUGUACUGAUAAAAUCUGGUUAGUCAUUUAUUCUUCUGA